GACGAACGCUGGCGGCGUGCUUAACACAUGCAAGUCGAGCGGAAAGGCCCUUUCGGGGGUACUCGAGCGGCGAACGGGUGAGUAACACGUGAGUAAUCUGCCCCUGGCUGUGGGAUAGCCACCGGAAACGGUGAUUUAUACCGGAUACGACCACUUCUCGCAUGGGAUGGUGGUGGAACGUUUCUCGGCCAGGGGUGUGCGAGCGGCCUAUCAGCUUGCUGGUGAGUUAAUGGCUCACCAUGGCUUCGACGGGUAGCCGGCCUGAGAGGGUGACCGGGCACACUGGGACUGAGACCCGGCCCAGACUCCUACGGGAGGCAGCAGUGGGGAAUAUUGGACAAUGGGCGGAAGCCUGAUCAAGCAACGCCGCGUGAGGGAUGACGGCCUUCGGGUUGUAAACCGCUUUCAGCAGGGACGAAGCGCAAGUGACGGUACCUGCAGAAGAAGCACCGGCAAUCUACGUGCCAGCCGCCGCCGUAA
rnacentral:rRNA from 1 species